UUAUUGGAGAGUUUGAUCCUGGCUCAGGACGAACGCUGGCGGCGUGCCUAAUACAUGCAAGUCGAGCGAAUCUGAGGGAGCUUGCUCCUGACGAUUAGCGGCGGACGGGUGAGUAACACGUGGGUAACCUGCCUGUAAGAUUGGGAUAACUCCGGGAAACCGGAGCUAAUACCGGAUAACAUUUCGAACCGCAUGGUUCAAAGUUGAAAGGUGGCUUUUGCUACCACUUACAGAUGGACCCGCGGCGCAUUAGCUAGUUGGUGAGGUAACGGCUCACCAAGGCGACGAUGCGUAGCCGACCUGAGAGGGUGAUCGGCCACACUGGGACUGAGACACGGCCCAGACUCCUACGGGAGGCAGCAGUAGGGAAUCUUCCGCAAUGGACGAAAGUCUGACGGAGCAACGCCGCGUGAGCGAAGAAGGCCUUCGGGUCGUAAAGCUCUGUUGUUAGGGAAGAACAAGUACCGUUCGAAUAGGGCGGUACCUUGACGGUACCUAACCAGAAAGCCACGGCUAACUACGUGCCAGCAGCCGCGGUAAUACGUAGGUGGCAAGCGUUGUCCGGAAUUAUUGGGCGUAAAGCGCGCGCAGGCGGUUUCUUAAGUCUGAUGUGAAAGCCCGCGG
rnacentral:ncRNA from 1 species